rnacentral:lncRNA from 1 species
CAGGAGCGUGAGAAAAGUUGUUGGGUUUUUUUUUUUUUUAUUUUCCACCUCGCCUUUUGUCUUGUUUUGUUUUUUUUUGAGACAGGUCUUACAAAGCUCAAGCUGGCCUCAAAUUCAUCAUGAAGUCAAGGAUGGCGUUAAACUUCUGCCUCCAGGAACCCUCAGGUAUGGAGAUGCCAGUACAUGAGCCACAGAGCAUGGUAGAGCAAAGGCUACAUGGAACCCACUGCUCCUGAUUCAGUGCUGCUAACCUCCCAGGAUUCAGUCCCACUGCGGGCCUCAUGCUCAGCGAUCUCAACACUGACGUUACACACAAGGGAGGAGACAAAGAGUGAGGAUGUCCACAUCCAAGUCUCAAAAGCCAGAGGCUAUGGCUGUCUCCUGUAAUCCCUGCAGCACAGCCCCGCUGUAUCACUGGGAAGUUAUGUCCUGGUGUCUCCUUUCAAAUAAAGUUUUAUUGAAACACAAA